GAGUUUGAACCUGGCUCAGGAUGAACGCUGGCGGCGUGCUUAACACAUGCAAGUCGAACGAAGUGAUAUGAGGGAAGUUUUCGGACGGAAUUUAUAUUGACUGAGUGGCGGACGGGUGAGUAACGCGUGGGUAACCUGCCUCAUACAGGGGGAUAACAGUUAGAAAUGACUACUAAUACCGCAUAAGCGCACAGAAUCGCAUGAUUGGGUGUGAAAAACUCCGGUGGUAUGAGAUGGACCCGCGUCUGAUUAGCUAGUUGGUGGGGUAAAGGCCUACCAAGGCGACGAUCAGUAGCCGACCUGAGAGGGUGAUCGGCCACAUUGGGACUGAGACACGGCCCAAACUCCUACGGGAGGCAGCAGUGGGGAAUAUUGCACAAUGGGGGAAACCCUGAUGCAGCAACGCCGCGUGAGUGAAGAAGUAUUUCGGUAUGUAAAGCUCUAUCAGCAGGGAAGAAGAUGACGGUACCUGAUUAAGAAGC
rnacentral:rRNA from 1 species